GACGAACGCUGGCGGCGUGCUUAACACAUGCAAGUCGAGCGGAAAGGCCACUUCGGUGGUACUCGAGCGGCGAACGGGUGAGUAACACGUGAGUAAUCUGCCCAUGGCUUUGGGAUAGCCACCGGAAACGGUGAUUAAUACCGGAUAUGACAACUUCACGCAUGUGAUGGUGGUGGAAAGUUUUUCGGCUAGGGAUGUGCUCGCGGCCUAUCAGCUUGAUGGUGAGGUAAUGGCUCACCAUGGCUUCGACGGGUAGCCGGCCUGAGAGGGUGACCGGUCACACUGGGACUGAGACACGGCCCAGACUCCUACGGGAGGCAGCAGUGGGGAAUAUUGGACAAUGGGCGGAAGCCUGAUCCAGCAACGCCGCGUGAGGGAUGACGGCCUUCGGGUUGUAAACCUCUUUCGCCUGUGACGAAGCGCAAGUGACGGUAACAGGUAAAGAAGCACCGGCCAACUACGUGCCAGCAGCCGCCGUAAUAC
rnacentral:rRNA from 1 species